rnacentral:lncRNA from 1 species
UUUUUUUUUUUUUGAAUCCAGGUUUUUGUAAAGGCAACAGAAAAACUGAGAAAGAUAAGUGAUAACUAUGGGCUGAGAAUUAUAGUGAAGAGUUAAAUCUGAUUUGAGUCUACAACAAGCUACAGGUAACAUGUAUAUGGCAAGGGUAAAAUACUAUUCUCUGUGGAAAUUAUGGAAACUUUUAAAGAAACAUACCCAGUAGAAAUAUUUCUCAUCAGGAAUAAUAUCAACAAUAUACUUUUAUCUUUGAUCAUGGAUCAUUUCUCUUAUGAUCAGCCCCCACUGAUCCACAGUUGAAGGUCAUGUCCUUUUAUCAAGGCCUUUACCAUUAAUUGCAGAUUAUCCUGCAAUUCUUUGCUUCUAAAUUUGCAGUUUACCAUGAAUUGCAGAUUAUUUUACAAUUCUUUGUUUUCAAGUUUGCACCAGUUUGAAAAUAGAGUCUUAGCUAAUGUCUAAAGGGAUUUUCUUUCCUUCAACAUGCUUUAGAAAUUGCUGAUGAUUUGUUGUUCUUUACUCCAGAACUCUCCAUUUGGGUGGCCCUGUGGCUCUGUGUCUUUCUGUAUGCUCUUUGCUGGGAGCCCGUUUAGCUCUGGAAAUGCUAGCUGUAGCCUCUAUAAACUGCUGUUUCUCCAAUCUGCCUGCUAUCUUCUACUCAGCUGCCUCACAGCCCUAUGGUAAUGGGAAAGAUUUUCGCAGUUCCUGGCUAUUUUCAAGAAAAGAGGAGUAAUUUGCAGAUUAGUCUGUGAUAAAAAAAAAUAGUCUGCCUCACUGCAGAUACUCUGUGCUAAGGUUUUAAAGGUUGUGGUUAGAGACCUAUGGGUCCUGAAACCUGCAAAGAAUAUGAAUCCCUGCUUGAAAAAUUUUUAAUGAGUGAUAACUGGGUUUUGACAUAUGACACACUUCUUAUUUUAGAUCAUGAUGAAAACAUCUUUGAAAUUACUCUUUUAUUUAUUUAAUGUAUAAGUUACUUUAAUGUAUAAACUAUUUAAGUAUCCAACUACUGGCAGAUAUUUGAGCUUUUACUCUUUAGAUUUUCAUGCUCACUGUUAAUUGUGAAUGAAAGGAGUUCCUGUCAUGGUGCAGUGGUUAAUGAACCCAACUAGUAUCCAUGAGGAUGCGGGUUCCAUCCCUGGCCUUUCUCAGUGGGUUGGGGAUCUGGUGUUGCUGUGAGCUGUGGAAUAGGUCACAGACACGGCUCAGAUCCUGUGUUGCUGUGGCUGUGGUAUAGGCUGGCAUCUGGAGCUCCAAUUCAACCCCUAGCCUGGGAACCUUCAUAUGCCUCGGGUGUGGCCCUAAAAAGACAAAAAAAAGAAAGAAAGAAAAAAAAAAAAAACCCUCUGAUUUCAACUUGUUUAAUAUGCAAAAGAGUUAAAUAAUCUUUUCUAUAACUUUAGUGUCAACCAUCUAGCCGUCUUCUAGAGGUCAAAACAAAAUAAUCUUACAGUAAGAGAAUCUGGUUAGAUAUAAAAAUAAAUUUUACAAAAAAUUAAAAAGCGGCAAAUUUUUUCCAAUCCUAGGUAUAUAUAAAUACUCAAGAGAAGUGGAAAUGUAAGUUUGCAUAGAAAUUUGUACAUGAAUGUUUAUAGUAGCAUUACUUAUAAUAGCCAAAAGUUGGAGAUGACACAUUUUGAAUGGUGGACAAACAACGGAUUAGAUAACCAAAAUCUGGUAUAUCCAUAUAAUGGAGUAUUAUUUGGCUAUAAAAAGGAAUGACAUAACUGAUUCAUGCUACAAGAAACUUGAAAAAAAUUAUGCUAAGUGAAAGAAGUCAGUCACAAAAAAACAUAUUUCAUUAUUUCAUUUACAUGAAAUGCCCCAAGUAGGCAAAUCUCUUGAGAUAAAAGUAGAUUUGAAAUGGGACAGGUUCCAUUGUUAGGUGAUAAAAAUGAUUGAAAAUUAUGGCGAUACCAUACUACUCUGUAAGUACCAUAAACUAUUGAGUUGUACCCUUUAAUGAGUGAAUUAUCUGAUAUGUGAAUUCUAUUUCAACAAAGUCACAAAAAACAGUGGCUAAACAUCGGCAAAGGCUACAAAAGCCUCUGAAACCUUAAUAUUUGGGGGGCUGGUCUCUCUCAAUAACAACUUAGAGUUGGAAAAGAGGGAUGAUGACUGAUUCUGGGAUGUUGCCACCGUAACCAUAGGUUUUUCUUAGGUUUUUGUUGAAUUUUGUCCUAUCUGGGUUUUGAAGGUCAUUUCACUCUUGAUCAUACUUGUAGAAUCUGCCUUCUUUAAGGAUUUUUAUUAUCCUCAAUUGGCUCUUUCCACACAGAAGAGAAAUAAAUAAUACAUCAAGUAACACAAAAGUAGAUUGGUAAUAUAUACCAUCAACUGCUUACAAAGAUAUACAUCAUAUGGAGACACAUGUCUGCUAUACCCAGAUAAAAAUGAGAUAAGUGCCCUAUUUUUGCUUAUUGCUGUCUUUUCCCAUAUCUAUAAUUAAUGAUCAACAGUCAUGUGUUUAAUAUCCUGAAUACCACUAACUUUCCCACAUAAAUAACCUGUCAGAAAUAUGAAAAACCAAAAACAUGUGUGCAGUUACAGUGCAAUGCAAUUGUUCAAUUCUCUAGCAAUAACAAUUUGAGCAGUAAAGCAGUAUACACUAUGAUAAAGAACCUGAUUUUAGUUUAUGUUUAUCUAAAAUCAGGACUAUAUAAGAUGUAAAACAAAAUGUUCUACUACAAACUGACACAUAGUUUGGUGACACAUAACAAAAAUAUUUAAUUUGGGGAUAUUCUUUUGACAAGUGGGAAAAAACACCCACAAAAAUCACAGCUUUCUCCAACACAUGCAUCACAAAAAAAUUGUCCAUCUUUUGCCACCUAGGCAAUGUGAAGUCUAAUAUAUAACACAACUUGUAAUGGGCUCUUAAAUGUGCUGUACAGAUGGAGGUUUUGAUAAUACCACUGAAAACCAAAAGCAGAAAUAUGGUCUGUCUGGUUUUGAAUUUGUUAUCGUCAUAAAAUGGAAUCUCAUUAUUUUUCACUUCUUUGAUUAUUUUAUCCUCCACUUAUGGAUGAGUUAUACUCCAGACUCUAAAAGUCAAACAAAACAUAAUGAAAAAACAUGAAAUCUGUUCAUCAUAAAACAUUAUUAGUUAUAGUAAUUUCCGAAUCAGAGAGAGCUGGAUAUUUCACAGCUAAGAACAGUAUCAAGAGGAAAUGCAGAUAGAGGCAACUUGGGGUAAUAGUGAGACUGGGGAGCUGAGAGACCCUAAUUUUACCUGCUUGUGGCACACUGAACAAGGUGUCACUCUCUGAGCCUCAUUCUUCCUAUU